CCACGACUUCAAGGCCAGCCUGCGUUACACAGACACAAGACAAAAACUAAAACUCAAAAUAAAGAAGAGCGCAAAGUUUCUCAGACCUGGCCUUCUGAGUCCACGUGGGAAAGAACAGGAGAUUCGCAUCUUGGUCAGAGUGUGUGAGGGGAGCUAUGAACUGCUUCCCAGGGAUCUUGUGGAUUCAGACACUGGCGCCCCAUUUUAAAAGGUUUUGAAGAUGGGGAAAUCAAGGUCCAGUGUCUGUAACUCUGUCACCCAUGAGGACAUGCAAUGGGGUAGACGUGUGCCCUGCCCCAGAUGUGUAAGGUGGCUGCCCUUACCAGAGGAAGCUCCUCUAUGAUGUUCAAGUGAGGAAACCACAAUUAUACCACCAGGUGCCAAGCCUAUACAGGAAGAGAACUCCAUGGUUUCACCUGUGUCUGAGCCUUGGUUAAGAACCCUUCUGCAAGCCAUGUUUUCUACUUUGUGGUCUCUGCAUCUUUCUGAGAUUCUUGUUCCCUCAACCGCCCCUUGGGACCAGAGGUGUGAUCCCAACCCCAGGCCUAGGACUCCUGCAUUGCAUCCUUCAA
rnacentral:sRNA from 1 species